UUUACAGUGAGACCGUGUGAUCGUUUUUGUGAUUGUUGGUCUUUAAUGAAAUCAUUUAUUAAAUUUCCAAAUCGAUUUCAAUACAUUUUAAGUAUAAAGUGUCUGAUUUUUACCUUUAAUGUUUGUUUUGUUUCAUUAAUUGUUGGAUGGAUAUCGAGUUGAAGUGGAUACAAGUUCAAUAGCAAACCAUUUUCAAUGUUAUUUCAAGUGUUACAGUUUUGUUUUCCAGUUGAAUAGGACUUUCAAUUUAACUGGCCUUUUCAUUGAAAUCAUUGAAGAUCCAAUAUUUGAUUAAUUUGUGUGUGUUUAAUGAACGGAAGGAAGUUAAUAAUGGCUACUAAAACAACACUGAAUGAUAUCGCAUUGUAAAUCAAUGGGAAGCUUUUCAUAUUGCUGGAUACGUUAUGGUUCGCUGGAUUAGUUGGUAAUUAAUUGUUAACUCUUUACUACAAUUUUAGUUUACUGCUUCUCUUGUCACCUUUUGUUCCCAAUUGUUUUUCAUGAUAAUCAAUGAACCAAAAUAAAUCAAACUCUUACAGUCAAUCUGACAAUUUACAAUCAAGCUGAGACAUCUGUCGGAUUUUUUUCAACUAAGGAGGGGAGAGUAACAUUGAGUAACUCAAUUUGAGUUUUUAAAGCUUUUUCAAUGUAACGGCUUUUUGUUUUAUUGUGAUUUUUUAAGUUGUUUAAAACAACUUAAAUGUUAGUUGUUCAUUUCUCGGGAAUGGGUUAAAGAUUCAUUGUCUUUAAGGUUACAUCGUUAAAAUCUUCAGCGUUUGUUAAAUAGGCGAGAAAUAAAUCACUUGUUAAGGCACUAUUCAGCUGUUGACAGUGUAAAGUAAAUUGGUAUUACAAUAAUCUUGUUGACAAACUGAUGCAACAAUUGUCAGACGAUGUCUCUUUUCAACGAAAAAAUUCAAAUUGGAACAUUUUCAGUCGGUAUUUUGAUUAUACAGUAAAACCUCUCGCAGUUUGUACUAGCUUAUUGGUUUUUGGACAGGGAUCGCACCGGCUUCUGGUUAACGCUGGUUACACAUUUGCUAGUUUGACAAAUCCAGGGUAGAGGAAGAGGGUUGCCAGAGAGUUUGCUAUGGGUAAGCCUUGAUGAGUUUGCCCAACCUCAGGUCUCACUUUGCUAGAGGAAUCAAAUGUUUCGGUAUUACCUUUAUAAAGGCCUUUGGAUUCAAUUGCAAGCAUCUAGUCGCUUUCCUCAAAUUUUUACAAUAAGAGAUCAUCUAAAGGUGAAUGAAAUCUCAUUAAAUGAAGAAACUUAGGAAAUGAAUUUGUUACCUUCGUCAAUAUGACUCCAUUAGUGUAUGAACAGGCUCCGAUGGAUACAAGGCCAAUGAUGGAAAUACCCGCAAUGAAAAGGUCCAUAAAUCCGCGAUCAAUGUGAACGAAAACGGCAAUGUAAGCUCCAAAAUUUGUAUCGAAAGAAAUUCCGAGGUAAAGGAAUAUGAGCCAGUUUCUGAUGCGAAGGUUGAGUUUUUCAAUUUCAUUCUGAUAUUGAAUAAUCUCACGAAGAGUAGUUUUGUACUCAAGCAAGUAUUCGACCUUGCUAAGCUUUCCUCGCUUCAUGGCAAGAUCUUGGACAGUUCGAGCCACAGAAGAAGCCUUAAAGUAAAAGUAAGACAAUUGAAUUGUAACCACAGCACCGGGCAACAUUAUACUGACUAAGGUACAAACAAGUCCGAGGUAAUUGACCAGAAGCCAAAAGCCAAUGUAAACAUACUGUUCAGAUGUUUUCGGUAGUCGAGAGACUGAAUGAACGAUGAAGAUAAAAAUUGGAGCUAAACUGAUUGAAACACACAGAAUUAUCCUAACCCACAGAGCUGCUAAAUUGGUGGCAACAAACCGAAACUUUUGGCAAUAAAAUUGACUCAUGAAUAGAACUUCUCUUUUGAAUCCUUCAGAAUAUAUUGAGUGUUGUAAUUGCAGGGAUGCAUAGUAAUGUUUUUUAACAAUAAAUAUCCAUAAGUGUCUCAAAACUUCUCCGAAAAUAGACGUAUUCAAACAGAAAAGCCAAAAAAAUCGACGAUUUGGAUGACCAUAGAAAAAGUCACCAAGAACAAGAAGCCAUUCGUCUGGCAAAUCAAAGACACUCAACAAGAUUAAGUGUGUGAUAUAAACAGUCAUUAGACUGAAGUAGAGGAUCGAUCUGAUUGUAGUCCAUCUUGAUGGUGUUACACUUGGAUCUUGGGAAAAGCCGUUUGGUAAAAUAUUGAAGGAAAUACAGAUUGAUUCUAGUUUCUUUAAAUCUUUGAUUGCUACUUCAUCCUCAACAUCACUUGAACGAAACCCAAUCACCAAACGAAUCAAUUUCGAUAUCAAAUGAUUGCCUUUCGACAUGGCCAUGAACACUUGCUUAAACUUCGAGUAAACCUGAAACUUAAAAAAAUUGUGAUAUUUCAAAUUUUUGUUAAGCAGAGGCUCAUCAAGCAUACCGAUUGCUCUGGUUACCGUUGUGUUAUUUUAAAAGCUAUUUAAAAAAUUGAAAUCUUCAUGUUCAGUAGUACUUUUAACUGUUCAUGAGAUACUAAAGUAAUCUAACGAAAUAAAAGCUACAAAUUUCAAAUCAAUAA